rnacentral:rRNA from 1 species
CGCGGCCUAUCAGCUUGUUGGUGAGGUAACGGCUCACCAAGGCGACGACGGGUAGCCGGCCUGAGAGGGCGACCGGCCACACUGGGACUGAGACACGGCCCAGACUCCUACGGGAGGCAGCAGUGGGGAAUAUUGCACAAUGGGCGAAAGCCUGAUGCAGCGACGCCGCGUGAGGGAUGACGGCCUUCGGGUUGUAAGCCUCUUUCAGCAGGGAAGAAGCGAGAGUGACGGUACCUGCAGAAGAAGCGCCGGCUAACUACGUGCCAGCAACCGCGGUAAUACGUAGGGCGCAAGCGUUGUCCGGAAUUAUUGGGCGUAAAGAGCUCGUAGGCGGCUUGUCACGUCGGUUGUGAAAGCCCGGGGCUUAACCCCGGGUCUGCAGUCGAUACGGGCAGGCUAGAGUUCGGUAGGGGAGAUCGGAAUUCCUGGUGUAGCGGUGAAAUGCGCAGAUAUCAGGAGGAACACCGGUGGCGAAGGCGGAUCUCUGGGCCGAUACUGACGCUGAGGAGCGAAAGCGUGGGGAGCGAACAGGAUUAGAUACCCUGGUAGUCCACGCCGUAAACGGUGGGCACUAGGUGUGGGCAACAUUCCACGUUGUCCGUGCCGCAGCUAACGCAUUAAGUGCCCCGCCUGGGGAGUACGG